AUGUGUUACAGGUCUUUCAAAAUUUGUCUAGCAGGUUUUCCAGUAUGUAUUGGAAACCCUCC
ensembl:snRNA U7 U7 small nuclear RNA